rnacentral:lncRNA from 1 species
UAUAUAUACAUUAUUGCCUUUAAUGUUCAUCUUAUCCCAAUUUUACAGAUAAGGGAUUGAGACACAGAAAUUAAAUGACAGGCCAAGCCUGCAGAGCUCAUAAAUGGCAGACGUGGGAUGUUCUCUUAUGCACUAGGCAAGGGAUGCUAUGGAAUCAGUUCCUAUCCCCAGAGAAUUGGCUACCUGGUGCAUAUGAAAAACCUACAAAGGAACAGGAAGGUCUCCUGCAGCCUAGAGUGAAGAGAUGAACUCGUUCAGAUUUUUGUCAAGUGCUGCCCAUCAUGGCCCUUGUAACGUCAGAGGAGGUAAGCAGUCCAGUCUCCUCACUGCCUUUACCAUAUUAUUCCACC